rnacentral:rRNA from 1 species
UAUGUGAUCGUCUCUCGCAUAUCAAUAAGCGGAGGAAAAGAAACUAACAAGGAUUCCCCUAGUAACGGCGAGUGAAGCGGGAAGAGCUCAAAUUUGAAAUCUUAAAGGGUUUCCCUUUACGAAUUGUAGUUUAAAGAAGUGUUUUCUGUUGAGGUUUCGGUAAAAGUUCUUUGGAAUAGGACAUCAUAGAGGGUGAGAAUCCCGUAUUUGACCUUUACUUUCAACUUUGUGAUACACUUUCAAGGAGUCGGAUUGUUUGGGAAUGCAGUCCAAAAUGGGUGGUAAAUUUCAUCUAAAGCUAAAUAUUGGCGAGAGACCGAUAGCGAACAAGUACCGUGAGGGAAAGAUGAAAAGAACUUUGAAAAGAGAGUUAAACAGUACGUGAAAUUGUCAAAAGGGAAGCGUUUGACACCAGUGUUGUUUUUCUGAAAAUCAAUUAAAGAACUGUUUAUGCUAAGUUGUUUAGACUUUAUCAGCUAAUCUGUUUAGUUUUGAGCUUUUCUUUAAUGCACUUUUCAGUUAACAAGUCAACAUCAAUUUCUUUUGCUGUAAAAAAGCUUGAGGAAGGUGGCUUGAGAUUCGUCUUAAGUGUUUAUAGCCUCUUGCCUAUGCAGUCGGAGAGAUUGAGGUCUGCAGCGUAGAUCCUUCGGGGCUAAAUGCAUUUGUGCUAAGUUAUAGCAUUUUAUAGACAACUUGUUGACUAUGAUUUGUCUUGUAGCUUACUCGCUUAUGUUAUUUUACCUACGCUUAGGAUGUUGAUAUCGCGCUCUCACUG